rnacentral:lncRNA from 1 species
CCCCAUCUCUACUAAAAAUACAAAAUUAGCUGGGCAUAGUGGCGCAUGCCUGUAAAUAAUUAUGCUUUACACUUGGAUGUCUCAAGGUAGCGCUGGAGUAGUUAUUCUGAGCUACUGGAAUAUCAGCGAGUGCCACCUCCAGAGGGAGCUUCCCAGAGCCCAGCCCUGUACCAUCUCUGAGCUUCCAGGAGUCCCCAGCUCUCCAGCCGCAGAAUAAAACCUGCCUGGAAGCUGGCACUGGAGGGUCUCCAUGGGCCCAGCCUAACCUGUCCACACCCUCCCAGGGCUCCCCCUUCUACCACCCACACUUCUGGCCAGACUAUAGUGCCACUUGCUUAUCACACCCAGCCCAUUCCCAGGUGUUCCCAUUCAGUUUUCUGAUUCCACCAUCACUACUGCCUCUACCAACAUCCCAACCGACCCUUCAGGCCCAGCUCAAAUGAGACCUCUCCGAGGAGUUUCCCAGAUCCCCCUACCCAGGAAUGACCUGCUCCCCUAUCUCCCUAUGCAUGCCUCCCUAUGGUUCUAGCUGAUGUCUACUAGGCCUGGCUUCACCUAUGAGGCUGGGGUCAGGGUGGUUUCAUGGAUGUGUGACCUUGUGCAGUCUCACAAGGCUCACAAUUGGCUUCGCACUCUGCUGUUGCCAUCGUGAAAUCCUCAAUGAUUUAUGUGCCGCAAGGAGCUCCCAAUUUUCAUUUUGCACUGGGCCUGCAAACUGCAAACUGCAGAUGUGGUCCUGCUGAGGACUUCUCAAGGAUGAGGCUUUGGUUUAUCUCUGCAUCUCACAGACUGCAGCAGUGACUGGGACACAGUAAGGACUUAACAAAGGAGGGAAGGUGGGUAAUCAAGUUUUUAAAAUGAAAAUAAAGGAUUGCUGAAUAAAUGAACAACCAGAGAGGCGGCCACCAGCCAAGGACAAACAAAGCUGAAUCUGGAACACUGGCUUCCUGCUGUCCUCUCAGACUAAACGCAGUAGGACAAAUAAACGUCACCUUACCUACCCACCAGUGUCUCAGCAAGGAAGGAGAGAGAGAAGGAAACGUCACCUUACCUACCCACCAGUGUCUCAGCAAGGAAGGAGAGAGAGAAGGAGGUGAAAGUGCACUGAAGACCUAAUACACAAUGUAUACUUAAGCGGGACUGUCAGGGGACAAAGAACCAGAGCCAGUGGACAAAACCUCCGUUCCCAAACUCCAAGCCACCAAUGGAAGGCCUCACAUAGGAAGCUGUGGGUGGAAGAUGGUGCGUUUCUACUGCCUGGUGGUUUUAGAUCUCUAUCGCCUACUCAGAAUCUGAACCCUAGCCUGUGUGUGUGAGAGGCUGCACGUGCACAUACAAAAACAGCAAGGUAUCUACAAGGGGGGUCAGGAUUGCAGAGGGGCUACCUGUGUGAGCUCUGGAGCCCAACUGCCUGCCUGGGAAUCCCAGCUUACCCACUGACUAGCUGUGUGACUCAGGGCAAGUUCUUUAACCACUCUGUGCCUCUGUCUGCACCUCACUCUCCUUGCCCCUAAAACAGGGGUAAGCAAAGUACCCACCUCCCAGGAUUUUUGUGAGGCUAAAAUGAGAUAACACCUAGCACACUUGCCAGACAAGAAAAGUUCUAUUUUUCCCCAGCACAAUGUUAAUAGGGUUGCCUCUGGGAUUUUGUGUGCUUUUCUUUUUCUUCUUCAUUAAUUAAAUUUUCUACAUGAAUGUGCAUGCUUUAUUGUCAGCAAAGAAUAAAGCUUUUUUUUUUUUUUUUUUUUUGAUGGGGUAGGAAGAACAGCUCAGAAUCCCAAGUAACCCUUUCUUUUAAACACAGAGGAUGGAAGCAGCCCUCUCUCUGCUGGUCUAUUUUAGGAUCUUCUGGAUGGGCAAGGAGUUCUACUGCCCAAAGCAGCCCAACCUUUUCUGCUCCCUGAUUCCCAGCGUACCCCUUCCCCACCUCUGCCCAUCCAGAAAAACUCAAAUCUCACCUCCUCCAAGAAGCCCUCGCUGCUAGCUCAGCACCUCUCUUCCUCCUGGGGAACAAGGCCUUUCCUCACUCUGCCCUCCCCUAGCUGGCACUAUCCACUCCAGAGGUCUUGUACCGGUCUCUGUUCCAGGGGCAAGGGGUUUGCCAAGACCCCAGCACAGCGGUCUUGAGGGGCAGGGCCACCUUCCUUCCUAUGUCCUUUCAAAGCACUCGCUCUGCUUUUCUUCUUGGAACUUCGAUACAACCUUAUGAGAGGUGGACAUGGGUUCAGGGAAGAAAAGUGAUGAGCAGGUCACACUGCUGGACUUAACCCCAGUCUGACCAAGUCCAUCAGGGCUCACUCUGCAGCCCCAGGCUGCUUCCCAUGGGAGGCUCACAGCAGGCACUCAGCUGACAGACCCUCACCCGCAGGGCAGCACUGCCCUGGCCCAUCAUACAUCUCUUCCUCCACCCUGUCCCCGCCAAUGCCGUUUCACUACUCACGCCCCUUCUCCUUCCUCCCCAGGAUUUCCCUUCUC